rnacentral:rRNA from 1 species
GGUACCUACGGGAGGCAGCAGUGAGGAAUAUUGGUCAAUGGGCGAGAGCCUGAACCAGCCAAGUCGCGUGAGGGAGUACUGCCCUAUGGGUUGUAAACCUCUUUUGUCGGGGAGCAAAAGCCGGACGUGUCCGUCUGUGAGAGUACCCGAAGAAAAAGCAUCGGCUAACUCCGUGCCAGCAGCCGCGGUAAUACGGAGGAUGCGAGCGUUAUCCGGAUUUAUUGGGUUUAAAGGGUGCGUAGGCGGGCUGUUAAGUCAGCGGUCAAAUGUCGGGGCUCAACCCCGGCCUGCCGUUGAAACUGGCG